GAUUCGCCAGUCCCCUCUGGGCCGUUACACAAGAGGGGGGACCACACACACAUACACAUACACUAACAUUAACACAUACAUCAACACAAACAUGCACAGACACACAUACACUCACACACUGAUAUAUAUUGUACAUUCACCCAUUUAACAUAUAUUUGACAUAAACACACGAGCAGUGCCUUUAACUACGACGAUGACUUCGACGCCAGAAGGCUGCCCACCUUCAAGAAGACUUAACGCCAGCUUUAGAAACACUCGGAGCCAGUUUCCACCUUCGACGUGACAAGACCAUUCUGAAGCGUCUGGGCCUGAGAACACUCGAAGGCGGGGAGUGUCUGGAGAUCCACUUGAAUGGAGCUGAGGAGUUAGGGCUUCACGUCCCUCCAUAUCACCACAAAUAACACCUGACGGUCCUUGCUGCACAUCUGAACACCACCCGCUCUGACGUGAAGCAUAGCCCCCGCCCCUGUUUCCUGUUUGUGGAGCCCAUCGCGAACAGUGGUCCAGACACACCGCGAAAUAUUGGUCCACUCAAGAUGAACAAAGUCGAGAUCUGUGAAGAAACAGCGGCCGCAGCCAAUUGUGUAACGUAAUCAAGAUUUAUCGCGGACGCUGGUAAAGAUCCACAGUGUAUAUCAGCCCAGACGUGGAGUGAAUAUCGGACCACAUCCGUUACGAACACCAGUCCGGUCACGAUUUUUCCAAACCGUAUUCUCCAAUGAUCCAGAUUCGUUUCGUCGUCUCCACCAACCUAGCAACUCGUCAUCACUGGGCCAACAUGGAGCUCCAAACUCUAGUCAUAUCAAAAGGCAGAGAUGCCAUCGAGAAUGAAGAAACCUCCGACGUUGCACCACUAUCUUGAUACCUGACCAAACCAAGAUGAGGGACAGACGACCCCUACGAAGACCUGCAGAUGAUAUUUACUUACUUAUCAGUCCGAAGACUUGCCCUGCAACAACGGCGUAAAAAAUCUGCUAAUCUGGAGUUGAUAUCAUUCCUAUCAGGAAAAUGUGUCAUUUAUGAAUUCAGCUUUCUACCUGUGGUCGGCGUCAGGUCAGGAGGAAGUGUCAGGUGCACUCCGUCUCCCGGCAACGUUUGACAAUCGCUGUUAUCGUCAGGAGGAAGUGGAAGAUUCACUGCGGCUCCUGACAACGCAUUGACAAUUGCGGACAAGUCGGGAGGAAGUAAAAACUUUAUAGAACUUCUGACCACGCUGAUAAUCACCGCACGUCUUUAAAUAGUUGACACAAACUUUACAUAACCUAAAAAUAUGUUGGGAAUUCCUGAUAUGCCAAGAGCAAGAGCAGAAUGGAGGCGCCCCUGAAGACGUGCCAUGGACACCAGAUGGUCCGCGCAGGAGAGUUGCCAGGCACUUGUGACAGUGAAUAAUCAGCAUGUGUUUGUGUUGAUUGCGGUUGUUGACAUCAACAUUGGUUACAAAAUUUUGAUGAAAGAUAUAUCUACACCAAAGUAAAAUUGAAACAACAUGGCAGUCUUUGAAUCAUGACUGCAAGCAGUGACAGAAAAUGUUCAAUUUUGUUAUGAAAAGAGUGAAGUACAAAGUUUACGCAUGAAAUCUGUGCAACUUUGUGUUAUCGAGGAAGUUACAUAUAAUAAUUCAGCAUUAUUGUCCGAUUUUUUUCACUAUAGCCAUCACCGUUACCUUCUUAUUCUGAUGAUCUUACAUGUGCGCUGCAAAGUCGGAGCAUAGAUCGCGAGAGCCUUUUCACCUCCGCCAGGAAAUCGUAGAGGCAUUCCCUGCGCGUGUCGUCGCAUGACAGCCGUGCCAUUUGAGUUCUUGGAGCAAAGGUGCAAGUUAUUUGGCGGGUGUGCGGGUCGCCAAGGUUGCUGUCGCGUGUCCCAUGGCUCCUCGGAUUAGCCAUGGUGAUGUACGAUCCGAGUAACUGCGGGUCAAAGUUUCAAUACAACACCUAGCUUGAUAGUAACUCCCGGUAGUUGGUGACGACUGAACGUUGUAUUGACAAUACAGCCAAAGGAUUAUCAGUCGUUUGUACUGGGAAUGUUUUAGUUUGAGCCUCACUCUGGUUGUCUUUCGUCUGUAUUGCACUAUCAUUUACCGACUUGGACAAUCGUGGAGUAGAGAAUUUUUUAGAUUAUCGGAUCAAAAUCGUUAGUCUCAAUAAGGCCAUCAAAAUCGUACAUAAUAUCAGUUCUCCUCCAUCCAUCGAAGUAAGACGCUGGGCCUUGAGAAAAAGCAUGAUAAAACUGACUUCUUUUCACUUGACUAAGACUCGGAAUGUUCCUGUGAGUGUCUGUGUGUAAACAUUACGGCGCAUCGAGGAAGGCGUUUGUUUACCUUCCCUCGCGGCGUCGGUUAUCACACGCGAACUAUUCGUGGCGUGCAGUGUUGCGAAGGCUUUGAGUUCCCAGCAUGUAAUUCACAAGGGCGUGUGUAUUUCUCGUUUGCAACAGUGCACUUCAUGCCGGCCAUCGAGUCCUCUGAAGGGUUGGAAAUAUAACAUGCUGCCACCUGACCAAUCAGAGAACUCCCUGGCCUCGCUGGACAAGCGCUUCCUCGCUAUUGGUUCCUUCAGUGCCACCUGAACCAAUAAGAGGAACUUUUGUUCUUGUUCCGUGUGAGAUGUGUGACCCGGAAUGUUUAGGUCAUU